rnacentral:rRNA from 1 species
CGGGUGAGUAAUGUAUAGUUAAUCUGCCCCAUAGUGGAGGACAACAGUUAGAAAUGACUGCUAAUACUCCAUACUCCUUCUUAUCAUAAGUUAAGUCGGGAAAGUUUUUCGCUAUGGGAUGAGACUAUAUCGUAUCAGCUAGUUGGUAAGGUAAUGGCUUACCAAGGCUAUGACGCGUAACUGGUCUGAGAGGAUGAUCAGUCACAUUGGAACUGAGACACGGUCCAAACUCCUACGGGAGGCAGCAGCC